GUAGGUGGCAAGCGUUGUCCGGAAUUAUUGGGCGUAAAGCGCGCGCAGGCGGUCCUUUAAGUCUGAUGUGAAAGCCCACGGCUCAACCGUGGAGGGUCAUUGGAAACUGGGGGACUUGAGUACAGAAGAGGAAAGCGGAAUUCCAAGUGUAGCGGUGAAAUGCGUAGAGAUUUGGAGGAUCACCAGUGGCGAAGGCGGCUUUCUGGUCUGUAACUGACGCUGAGGCGCGAAAGCGUGGGGAGCAAACAGGGAUUAGAUACCCUGGUAGUCCACGCCGUAAACGAUGAGUGCUAAGUGUUAGGGGGGUUUCCGCCCCCUUAGUGCUGCAGCUAACGCAUUAAGCACUCCGCCUGGGGAUACGGCCGCAAGGCUG
rnacentral:rRNA from 1 species